CCCCUUGUAGCUCAGUUGGAAGAGCAGUGAACUUCUAAUUCAUUGGUCAUGGGUUCGAGUCCCAUUAGCUCCACCA
rnacentral:tRNA from 1 species